rnacentral:lncRNA from 1 species
CAUCAUUGGACUAUCAUUUCGGAAAGAUAAUUCGACGUCCAGAAAAUUCGAACGAUUUGAUUCUGACUAAUAGAUCUUGACCACAUGUCCAGAUGUUAUUGGCUCUGUACCAUUCAUACGAAUAAUGAUGAGGUGGCAUGAUUUGGGAGUAGGUGCAUCGAACUGUCCGAUCAAUGGUCGGUCUCGAUACAGCUACGUGUCGACAUCUGAGG